rnacentral:lncRNA from 1 species
AUGUAUAUUUGUUUUUUCAGGAAAAAGAGUGAUGAUCCUCUACACCCUGACUAUGUGCCGAGUUUAUUCAGCUUCACCUCUACUGCUGAUCGGACUCGGGCUGUCAACCACCUGGAGAGAUAUGUGCGAACUCAAAACGUUUCUGGCAAAAGACAUGAUGGGCUAACUGCAACAGACAGAAGUACUGCGUCAGAGCAAGAAUUACAGGUACAAACUGAAACUGGAGUCCAAGGCACUGAGGUCCAGACAGAGGAGACACACAAUGACAUUGCCUCAUUAUAUAAACAAAUUGAAUCUUUAAACAUCGAAUGUCAAUCACUGAGAGAUAAAAUUCAUGGACUAGAAAGUGAGUUGAAGCAUCGUACCCUUGACCCUUCACAAUUUGAUGACAGCAAAAUGAAAUUUUUCACAGGACUUCCCAAUUUACAGACUUUCAUGUUAUUGUUUAGCUUUGUGUUGUCAGUUUUUCCUGCUACUCCAAAGCAGUCCCUCAAGCCUGCUCAGGAACUACUCUUACACUGAUGAAGCUGCGCCUCAAUCUGUCAGAGGAAUUUUUAGGUUACCUCUUUGGGAUUCACCAGUCAACAGUAUCCAGAGUCUUUCACCGUUGGAUACAUGUUAUGGCAAGCAGGCUUCAUCCUCUGAUAUUGUGGCCAGAAAGAGAAGACCUUAGACGCAGCUUACCAAUGUGUUUUCGUACAUUUUUAAGAACUGUGUAAGCAUAAUCGACUGCUUUGAAGUGUUCAUAGAGCGUCCUUCUGACUUAAAAGCUCGAGCUCAAACUUGGAGCAACUACAAACAACACAACACUAUAAAAUUUCUCAUUUCAAUCACCCCACAAGGAAGCAUCUCUUUCUGUCCAAGGCCUGGGGUGGACGUGUUACAGACAAACACCUGACAGAACACAGUGGGUUCCUUGACAAGCUCCUACCAGGGGACUUGGUACUGGCUGACCGAGGUUUCACAAUUGAGGAUAGUGUUGGCCUAUUUUGGCAGAAUUAAUAACGCCUCCAUUCACACGAGGAAGAAACAGCUUAGCCGAAAAGAAAUUGAAUCGGCUCGUGAAAUUUCUCGUGUGAGAAUCCACGUCGAAAGAGUGAUUGGAAUGUUGAGGCAGAAAUACACAAUUCUGGGCUCAACGCUGCCUGUAAGUCUCAUUAGAGUGGAGCAAAAUGGCAAAGUGGAGGACAGCCUUAUAGAUAAGAUUGUGUUAACAUGCUGUGCUUUAUGCAAUAUGUGUGAGUCCAUAGUGCCUUCAGAUUGAGGUGAACAUUAGUUCAAACCUUUUGUCUUAAUAGUUGGUAUCAAUAUGUAUUGGAUGAUAAGUGUAAAUAUUAAUUUUAAAACUUUUGCGUGAUUUUCAUUGAUAAGCCCGUAAAGGGUUACAUUUUGUAAAUAUUUACUCUGUGAUGUAUCUGUUAUGUAUUUACUCUAAGUUAUUUCACAGUAACAUAUGAAGUACGUUUAUAUUCAUGUUUAUGUGUUAUCAUAUUUAGUAUGUAUAUAUGUUAUUGUUUAGUAUACCUAUAUACUUUUAUACUGUUGUUGUUUUGUAUACCUAUAAAAGGAGAAUAGGCUUUUAAAGUUUAUUAUUUAUUUAUUGAAAAUAAUUGUAAUAGUUUUGACACAACUGUCAGGUCAGUCUAGAUAUGCUAAUAUGUCACUUUCCAACCUUAGACAUGUAAACAGUGUGUGGAAAUAACCCCAGACUUACAGUCUAAAUAGUUACAUUUUAUAUACAAUGAUAGGACUAAUAAGAAAAAGAUUACGCCAAAAAUGCUGUAAAAACUUUGGUUUUGAAUAAUAAUGUAACAUAUUUACAAAUGUGAAAUGUGUCACCAACUGCUCCUUUGAAUGGGAGGCGGAAACAGUUCACAAGCAUCAGUCAGUAAUUUGGGGCUUUUCAAAAUGUUCAGUAGUUCCCCCAUCAUAAAAUAACUUUAUAUAUCAUCUUUUCUCUGUAGGCAAAGUGUCACUUACGUAUAAAUAUGUACAAGUUAAGUGCAAGCUGUAACAUCAUCCCUAAGGUGAAGGGCUUAACACAAUAACAGUCCUACAGAUGAGAUGUUGCACCAGGAUUCAGUACUGCAUUUUUGGUGAACCAUUUUCCCAAUAAUUCUGGCAGCACUCCAUACUUGAAAACGUUGUGGCCUUCAUAACAUGUCUUUCAAAAUUUACAUCUGGGGUUAUUCUUUCAAUAUACAAUUCUGAAGGCGUCCACACACAAAAGUCACAGUACAGAGAUUUUGUGACAUGAAUCUGGCACUGCACUUGAAAGUAGUAGUUGUGCUGUCUGUUGUGUCAGCGUCACAUCUGAGGAUGAAGAUGUGACCAAGGGAAAGUCUUUUCUUUUGACAGUUCAAGCAGUGUCUUGUCUUUUGCCAAGUAGGGACAUUUGAUUUCCAGGCAGCCUGAGCCACAACAGUCACAAGACACCUUCCCAUCCGGGGAAGCGCCUAGGUGAGGGUAAUGUGAGGAAAUAUUGAGUCCAGUGGUGGUCACAUCAAAAUUGACAUGUCUUGAUGACAUGGUUUCAGUGUAUUUCUCCUUUGCCUUGUUUUCCUGAUGAAUGCCCCACCUGAAAAUAUUUGAGGAAAACAUGUUACUUUAAAUUAGGGCAUACAUAUACCAUGUCCACAAUUACUUUUCAUCAGGUUUUGUAAGAGAUUUUAUCAUUCACUAGUUCUAUCCUUCUGAGAAGAGAACAACUUUGAAAUUUCAUAAAUUUACUAUGUUGUUAAAGCAAUAAAUAAUACCUUGUUGCUGCAGUGGUAAACUUUGCUGAUUCUGGGUAGCAUACAGCUUUCACAAGUGAUUUUGGGGCUGAUUUUCAUUGCUUUUGAUAACUGCACCAAACUUGGAAGCUGUUACUCUGCCACAUCUGUAGGUAUACCACAUCCUUGAUGAAGCCUGUCUCUUUGUCUCCUGUUCAACAAGCUUACAUUGCUCAUCUGUCAUUUUCAAUUCUUCAAACACCUUGUCACAUUUUUCAAUAAGUUCAUUGUAUGUCAAAGAAGCAUUCUCAGCAUCAUAAAGUUGUCCCAGUGGUGUAGGAUAGCCAUCUCUCAGAGCCAUUGGGACAAAAUCUUUGGAGUGGUUUGGAGCUACAGAGAGCACAGCAGCUCUUGGGUUUGCAUACUUCAGCUUAUUCAGAAAGCCUGCAACUUCAUCUCCUGUAGGUUUGGACGUAGCAUCACAGGGCCCUGACUCCUUGAUGUAGUUUCAUUGACCACACUCAUGUCAACUUGACCUAAAACCUUUCUACUCUGCAUUCUGGGACAUGUCAUAUCUAUAGAGGACGUUCGAGCAGGCUUUUUUUUUUGUGUUGGCUGAAGCCACUGACAUGGCAGUGAAGUACACGGCGUGUCAUCACGCAGCCUCACACCAGACAUUACUGCAAACAUCAACGCUGCUGCAUGUGAACAUGUCUCUCCAAGUCCUGCCAUGCAUGUACAAUGUGCUGUCACAACUGUCCCUGUCUUUCUGCAGCUAUCCAAGUUUUCAAGGGUGGCUCAUUCAUUCUCUG